UACGGGGGGGGUAAGCGUUGUCCGGAUUGACUGGGCGUAAAGCGCACGCAGGCGGCCGUGCACGUGGGGUGUGAAAGCUGGCGGCUUAACUGCCAGACGCCACCUCAUACGGCACGGCUCGAGCCCGUGAGAGGUCCACGGAAUUGCCGGUGUAGUGGUGAAAUGCGUAGAGAUCGGCAGGAACACCCAGGGGGAAACCAGUGGACUGGCACGGUGCUGACGCUCAGGUGCGAAAGCGUGGGGAGCGAACCGG
rnacentral:rRNA from 1 species